rnacentral:tRNA from 1 species
ACAGUGGUGGUUCAGUGGUAGAAUUUUUAUGUUCCAUGCAGGAGACUUAGGUUUGAUUCCUAGCCAAUGCA